CUGGCGGCGUGCUUAACACAUGCAAGUCGAACGAGACGAUUUAGAAGCUUGCUUUUAUUGAGUCGAGUGGCAAACGGGUGAGUAACGCGUAGACAACCUGCCGCAAAGAUGGGGACAACAGUCCGAAAGGACUGCUAAUACCGAAUGUUGUAUCUCCUCCGCGUGGAAGAGAUAUUAAAGAUGGCCUCUCUACUUGUAAGCUAUCGCUUUGCGAUGGGUCUGCGUCUGAUUAGCUAGUUGGUGGGGCAACGGCCUACCAAGGCGACGAUCAGUAGCCGGUCUGAGAGGAUGAACGGCCACAUUGGAACUGAGACACGGUCCAGACUCCUACGGGAGGCAGCAGUGGGGAAUCUUCCGCAAUGGGCGAAAGCCUGACGGAGCAACGCCGCGUGAGUGAAGAAGGUCUUCGGAUCGUAAAGCUCUGUUGUCGGGGACGAUAAUGACGGUACCUGAGGAGGAAGCCACGGCUAACUACGUG
rnacentral:rRNA from 1 species